CGGGGCGUAGCGCAGCCUGGUUAGCGCACUUGGUUUGGGACCAAGGGGUCGAAGGUUCAAAUCCUUUCGCCCCGACCA
rnacentral:tRNA from 3 species